UGGGGCAACCUAGGAUGUUUAGGUUUCGGAAAUCUAACUUCAAUUUAAAAAGUAAGCACAUCAACUUAGAUCACUGUUGUUUUCUAACAUAACCUGAAAAUAAACAUCGUGCUUAGAGAAAUGAAUGGAGAAGGUGAAAACAAUGAUUCUUCAGUGUCAUUCCAUACCACAACUGCUCUUUAUUUUUUAUUUUUAUGUUUUAGUUUGGCUGCACUCGAAGUAAACAGAAGUUCCUUGGCCAGGGAUUGAACCCGUGCCACAGCAGUGAUCCGAGCCAUAGCUCUGACAAUGCCAAGUCCUUAACUUCUAAGCUACCAGGGAACUCCUUUUUCUUUUUUUUCCCAGCUGCUUUUUAAAACUCAUUGUAUCCUUAUUGUCAAAAAUUGAAAACCACCAGGAUGGGGCUGUUGGGGGCAGGGGGAGUAGAGGCAGAAAAAAAAAAUGGAGAGACCCUGGGUGGAUGAAAAAUGUGAGGCAGAGAGAGGUCCAGCCUGUGCCUCCCGGGGUUGCCCUGCAAGCUUAGGUUACCCCUUCUCAAGUGCCACCUCCCCAAAUGCCUUUGACACCCACCUCUAUCUGAGUCAGAGACAAGCCGUGCAGAGCUGGCCCAAGUAGCUGUACUGAUCCAUCGUUACUCCUGCAGGUAUUUGCUCAGGUCAUCAGCAGCUUUUCUCCGCCUCCAGGACAGCUCAGGUGCUCAGGAGUAAUCCAUGUGUGAGAUGGGUCUGCAAUGCGAGGAGUAAUUCCAGCAGCCAGACUGAACCCCUCGGAUUACAAGGAUUUCCAAUUCUCUCAAAACCUGACAAAUGACUCCCUUAGUGCGUGGACUCUGUAGCAUCAAAAUAACCAAUGAUGGGAUGGUUUUGACCAAAUUACCCAACAGAGGGACGAGGGGAGGAACGGGGAAGAAACAGGGCUAUUAAGACAGCCGACUCCCAUCAUUCAGUAUCAUGAAGAAGCCAAUGCAAGGCCUUCAUCAUCUUCAUUUCAAGGCUUAGGCCGAGUUUCCUGGGAAUCCUGUGAAUCCUUGGAGAAGUCGGUGCUCCAGAUGUGCUUCCAAGUUGAGCGGCUCACCCAGCAACCUGAACUUCGCGACGUUUUUGUUUCUCCUUGCAUUUGCAUUCUCAGGGACAGGAGGUUCCGUCGCAAUUGUCCUGGGUUCCAGCCCAUCAAAGCCAGUGAUCAAAAGAGCACAAAGGACACUGGGCACUUGAAGAAUAAGAAAAGGAGUGGCUGAAUGUGGGGACUAGACACAGAAGGGAAGUGGCUGCAAAGGGG
rnacentral:lncRNA from 1 species